AUUGAACGCUGGCGGCAGGCCUAACACAUGCAAGUCGAACGAACCCUUCGGGGUGAGUGGCGCACGGGUGCGUAACGCGUGGGAAUAUACCCUUGAGUAAGGAACAACGUUUGGAAACGAACGCUAAUACCUUAUAAUGACUCCGGUCCAAAGAUUUAUCGCUCAAGGAUUAGCCCGCGUCAGAUUAGUUUGUUGGUGAGGUAACGGCUCACCAAGACGAUGAUCUGUAGGGGGUCUGAGAGGAUGAUCCCCCACACUGGGACUGAGACACGGCCCAG
rnacentral:rRNA from 1 species